rnacentral:misc_RNA from 1 species
AACAUCGCGCACCUGCGGGAACCUGCGGAAGGAUCAUUACAAGUAGAGUUUACGAACUCUUAAACCCUUUGUGAACCUUACCUAUCGUCAGUUGCUUCGGCGGGAGGCCCCUGGGAGGGGCCCCGGGGCCCGGCCUGAGCCGGGCUCCCGCCGGAGGAGCGCAAACCAAACUCUUGCUGUACCUCAGUGGAACAUCCGAGUUAAAAUAAAAAACAAGUUAAAACUUUUAACAACGGAUCU